rnacentral:rRNA from 1 species
GACGAACGCUGGCGGCGUGCCUAAUACAUGCAAGUAGAACGCUGAAGGAGGAGCUUGCUUCUCUGGAUGAGUUGCGAACGGGUGAGUAACGCGUAGGUAACCUGCCUGGUAGCGGGGGAUAACUAUUGGAAACGAUAGCUAAUACCGCAUAAUAGUAGAUGUCGCAUGACAUUUGCUUAAAAGGUGCAAUUGCAUCACUACCAGAUGGACCUGCGUUGUAUUAGCUAGUUGGUGAGGUAACGGCUCACCAAGGCAACGAUACAUAGCCGACCUGAGAGGGUGAUCGGCCACACUGGGACUGGAACCCGGCCCAGACCCCUCCGGGAGGCAGCGUUGGGGAAUCUUCGGAAAUGGACGGAAGCCUGACCGAGCAACGCCGCGGGGGUGAAGAAGGUUUUCGGAUCGUAAAGCUCUGUUUUAAGAGAAAAACGGGUGUGGGAGGGGAAAGUUCCCCCUGUGACGUUAUUUUACCAGAAGAGGACGGCUAACUACGU